rnacentral:rRNA from 1 species
GUAGGUGGCAAGCGUUGUCCGGGAAUUAUUGGGGCGUAAAGCGCGCGCAGGCGGUUCUUUAAGUCUGAUGUGAAAGCCCAAGGGCUCAACCGUGGAGGGUCAUUGGAAACUGGAGAACUUGAGUACAGAAGAGGAAAGCGGAAUUCCACGUGUAGCGGUGAAAUGCGUAGAGAUGUGGAGGAACACCAGUGGCGAAGGCGGCUUUCUGGUCUGUAACUGACGCUGAGGCGCGAAAGCGUGGGGAGCAAACAGGAUUAGAUACCCUGGUAGUCCACGCCGUAAACGAUGAGUGCUAAGUGUUAGGGGGUUUCCGCCCCUUAGUGCUGCAGCUAACGCAUUAAGCACUCCGCCUGGGGAGUACGGCCGCAAAGGCUGA